rnacentral:rRNA from 1 species
GUGUCAGCAGCCGCGGUAAUACCGGCAGCACGAGUGAUGACCGCUCUUAUUGGGCCUAAAGCGUCCGUAGCUGGCCACGCAAGUCUAUCGGGAUUUCCGCGCGCUCAACGCGCGGGCGUCCGGUGGAAACUGUGUGGCUUGGGACCGGAAGAUCCAGAGGGUACGUCCGGCCUAGGAGUGAAAUCCCGUAAUCCUGGACGGACCACCGGUGGCGAAUGCGCUCUGGAAAGACGGAUCCGACGGUGAGGGACGAAAGCUCGGGUCACGAACCGGAUUAGAUACCCUCGUAGUCC